UACGUAGGGUGCGAGCGUUGCCCGGAUUUAUUGGGCGUAAAGGGCGCGUAGGCGGUGAGACACGUUCGUUGUGAAAUCGCCCGGCUCAACUGGGCGGGGUCAGCGGAUACGGUCUCACUUGAGCAAGCUAGGGGGCAAUGGAAUUCCCGGUGUAGUGGUGGAAUGCGCAGAUAUCAGGAGGAACACCGGUGGCGAAGGCGGGUCUCUGGGCCGAUACUGACGCUGAGGAGCGAAAGCGUGGGGAGCGAACAGG
rnacentral:rRNA from 1 species